ACGAACGCUGGCGGCAUGCCUAACACCAGCAAGUCGAACGAGACCUUCGGGUCUAGUGGCGCACGGGUGCGUAACGCGUGGGAACCUGCCCUUAGGUUCGGAAUAACUCCCCGAAAGGGGUGCUAAUACCGGAUAAUGUCUUCGGACCAAAGAUUUACCGCCUUUGGAUGGGCCCGCGUUGGAUUAGCUAGUUGGUAGGGUAAAAGCCUACCAAGGCGACGAUCCAUAGCUGGUCUGAGAGGAUGAUCAGCCACACUGGGACUGAGACACGGCCCAGACUCCUACGGGAGGCAGCAGUGGGGAAUAUUGGACAAUGGGCGAAAGCCUGAUCCAGCAAUGCCGCGUGAGUGAUGAAGGCCUUAGGGUUGUAAAGCUCUUUUACCCGGGAUGAUAAUGACAGUACCGGGAGAAUAAGCUCCGGCUAACUCCGUG
rnacentral:rRNA from 1 species